CUUCAUUGAAAUUCUCUUGAUUUUUGCUAAUACUUUUCCUUCUAAGAAAACAAAAAUAUCCAUUAGGCGUUCAUGAACUUACUAGUUUUUAGACUCAUGUGCACUGAUUCUUACUCUAAAUGUAGAGGUUCGUGAAAUAGGAACACUGCUUCAUCCUUUGAGUUCAAACUUUUGUAAUACGGGGAUACAAACAACGAUGGCCAAGUGCUUAUGCCAAAGAGAGCUUCUAUAGCUAAGUGCUUAUGCUAAAGAGAGCCUCUUCUUCUUCUUCUUUAUUUAUUUAUUUAUUUAUUAAUUAUUAUUUUUUUAACUUUAUUCUUUGCUUCGUAGUGAGGAUUGACUUUGGUGUGAACCGAACUUGAAGUGCAAAAAAAUUGUUGGGACCUCUUCUGAAGUACCUGUACUUCCCAAAGCUGUUUCUUCGCUGCUGGUUGGAGGAUCAAAGGGUCCAUCCUCGCAAGGGGUUGGGAGUUCCAAGAGUAUUUCUUUGAAGAAGACUACACCCUCGCAAUAACCUGAAAAGUCUUCUACUGGCAUCACUACUCUUCCUUCUCAUAGGCCUUCAACUAUAGAGUCUACUCUGACUGUCCUUUUGCCAGUUCCACCAAGGGAUUUUGUCUAGGAAAAGAAAGGUGUUGGGUACUGAUAACCUUCAUUAGAAUCCUAAGAGAUCUCAUUGUACAAGGGAUCAGCUCUCGAAGAGACCGGAUGUGAAAUCUUUAUUCAUCCUUCGCCUUAAGGAGGAAUUGGAUUUCGGCAUCCUUUUGGCCCUCCCUGCCAUCAUUUUUUCGGCUGCAAGAUAUCUUGGGAGAAAUUGGAGAAGGAGAUUACUCCGACAGAAAAGGAUAAAUUAAUUGAUGCUAAUCGCUCAGUCUAGCUUGACAGAGGUAAAGGCUUGUGAAAUCAUCCUUUACGAAGAUGUAUGCAGGAAGAGGAAAGCAAAGUUAUUAAUAUCAAGCAGUAAAUGGGAAUGAAAUCCCCUCUUCCGAGCCUUCUCGCUCAGUUUGUGAGGCUUCAGUUGCUCUUUUACCGCCGCCUCUCGCAGGAAUCGUGCCUCCUAUGGACCUGAUGAACACAAACCCAAUGAGAAAUUCUAUUCCGACUGUCGAAAAAAUUCUGACUCUGUGAAUUAUGUUACUUCUCUGCCUCUUGUCGAACCAACUCCAGCCAUUGAGACUAGUUCUCAGGCUAACCAAGAGAACCCUGCCUUUAAAAAUCUCCAAGAAUUGGUUAACCUUGAGAAGUAACUUUCUUUGUAAUUAUUGAAUUUCUCUUUUGUAAUGAAUAAACAUUGUUUUGUCU
rnacentral:lncRNA from 1 species